GGGCUGUGACCUCUGCCAUUGCCCCAGCUAAGCAGCGAGAGCUUGCUGAAGCCCAGAGGGCUGUGGGACCAUGAGGGCAGCUCUCUGGACCCUGGGACUCGGGCCCCUUCUUCUGAAUCUCUGGGCAGUCCCCAUUGGUGGACCAGGUGCUCUGAGGCUGGCGUACAGACACAGCACGUGCGACGGAGUGGUGUUGGUCCGACACCACGGGGCAUGGGGAUACGUGUGCAACCAGGAGUGGACGCUGGCAGAGGCCUCUGUCGUGUGCAGGCAGCUGGGCUGCGGCCCUGCCGUGGGCGCCCCCAAGUAUGUCCCGCUGCCUGGAGAGAUGGCCCAGCCCUGGCUUCACAACGUGUCCUGCCGGGGCAACGAGUCCUCCCUCUGGGAGUGCAGCCUUGGCUCAUGGUGCCAGAGCCCGUGCCCCCACGCAUGGGUGGUGGUCGCGCUGUGCUCCAACGGCACUUUCCGGGAGCUCCGGCUGGUGAAGGGCCGCAGUCCCUGCGCGGGACUCCCCGAGAUCAGAAACGUGAAUGGGGUGGACCGCCUCUGUGUCCUGCAUGUGGAGGAGGCCAUGGUGUUCUGCCGGGAGCUGGGGUGCGGCCCUGUGCUCCAGGCCCCCCGCCGGGACGUGGGCGUCGUCAGGAAGUACCUGGCCUGCAGGGGUACCGAGCCCACCAUCCGCAGCUGCAGACUGGACAACAACUUCCGCAGCGGCUGCGACCUGCGGCUGGACGCAGAGGUGGUCUGCUCAGGUGAGGCUGCCACCUGAUGUUCCCAGUGACCCUUGGGAUGAUGCUGGGCCCGGACCUGGGGAGGGCAGGGAGAAGGGGGGUGGGCGUUCCCACGGAUGGGCCCCCCUGUCCUGCAUGAGACAUUGGGCGCAGAGGUGGGAAAGGGCCUCAGCUCUCACGCUGGUUCUCAGCAGAGUGGAGCUGAGUUUCUGGUGGCCCCACAGAGGUGUCCUGGCUCAGAACCCGCAGGCCAUCUAGGGGUCCUGGCUGCCGCUGCAAGUCUGAGCUGCCUCAGCUGUGAUCUCUGCAUGUCUAACAUGGAUCGGGGUUGGGUAGAGGUCACUUCUUCCCAGCCCUGCCUCAACUGUGUGUGAGCUGCACUGGCCUCACAGCUCCUGGCCUUGUUGUGCAUAUGAGGAGCAGCUGAAAUGAGGUGGAUAGUCUGCCUGCUGCGGUACCCCAGAGAGGGUGGUGCUCAGUGGACCAAGGGGUGCCCUGACCUCGCCUCUGGGAUUGCAGAGGGUGUUGCUGUCAUGGCCUCGGACAGGCAGAGGCUGUGAAAUACGUGAGCACCUGCAGCAGGUGACCCUGACCCUGACCUUGGUGAUGCGGCCAAGGACGUCUGCUCUGCUCUGGGUGCCGGGUGGAAGGGCCUGUGGCUGCAAGUUCCUGCCUGUGCUUGGUAGACCCUCUGCCUAGAUGCAGGUGAUGGCUCCUGGCUGAAGCCUUCCGCAGUCUGAGGCUCAGGGCCAGGCUGUUGACCUGAGAACACCUGUCUCCUGCCUGAGAGGACGUCUGCCCCCAGGACACACCGAGGCCCGACUGGUGGGCGGCGAGCACCCCUGCGCCGGGCGCCUGGAGGUGACCUGGGGCACCGUCUGUGAUGCGGCCCUGGACCUGGCCACGGCCCACGUGGUGUGCCGGGAGCUGCAGUGUGGGGCGGUCGUGUCCACGCCCGAGGGCGCCCGCUUCGGCCGGGGCUCGGGGCCGGUGUGGACGGAGGCCUUCCGCUGUGCGGGCAACGAGUCGCUGCUGUUCCACUGCCCACGGGGGCGUGGGAGCCAGUGUGGGCAUGGUCACGACGCGGGGCUCAGGUGCUCAGGUGAAGUCCUGUGUGUGGGCUCUGAAGGCUCAGCCCUGCCUUGUUCUCUGUCAAAUCCCUUCGUGCCCUAAAGGUGCCUCUGGCCAGUAGGUGUGGGUGCUUUUGAUGUUUGCUUCUGUUGGUUGAAAGAAGCGCAGGGAAGAGACUGGGUGUAGAGUGAUGUACCCCAAGGCUGCAGCUAAGAUCAAAUUCUUCUGGAGAGCUGUGUGAGCUGGAUGCUGAUGCAGAGGAGGGUGGGGGAGCUGGUGAGACCAAGGCUGGGCUCUGUGCCCAUCCCACUGGGUGUGAAGGAAGGAAAUGACCACAGACAGCCAUGUUCUGGGUCGGCCGUCUGCAAGCCAGGCUGACUCCUCCUCUCCCCCAGAGUUCAGGAUGGUCAACGGCAGCAGCAGCUGUGAGGGCCGCGUGGAGUUCCAGGUGCAGGGGUCCUGGGCACCCCUCUGUGCCACCCACUGGGACAUAGCAGAUGCCACCGUCCUCUGCCACCAGCUCAACUGUGGCAACGCGGUGGCCGCACCUGGAGGAGGCCAUUUUGGGGACGGGGACGCUGCCAUCUGGCCUGAUGCCUUUCACUGUGAGGGGACAGAGUCCUACUUGUGGAAUUGCCCAGUAAGCACCCUGGGGGCCCCGGCCUGUGCCCCGGGAAACACAGCCUCCGCGGUCUGCUCAGGUCUGGCCCACGCCCUGCGACUGAGGGAAGGACAGAGCCGCUGUGACGGCCGCGUGGAGGUCUCCCUGGAUGGCGUGUGGGGCCGCGUCCUGGACGAUGCCUGGGACCUGCGCGGCGCGGGCGUGGUGUGCCGGCAACUCGGGUGCAGAGGGGCCCAGCAAGCCUAUGACGCACCUGCCCCCAGCCGCGGAUCCGUCCAGGUGGCGCUGAGCCGCGUGCGCUGUCUGGGCACCGAAACCCGCCUGACUCAGUGCAACGUGUCCGCGACCCUGCAGGAGCCCGCGGGGACCUCGCGGGACGCCGGCGUGGUGUGCUCCGGGAGCCUCAGGGUGCGGCUGGCCGCGGGGCCGGGGCGCUGCACGGGGGCGCGUGGGGCACCGUGUGUGACGAUGCCUGGGACCUGCGGGACGCGCACGUGGUCUGCAGGCAGCUGGGCUGUGGCCGCGCCCUGAGCGCCCUGGGGGCCGCACACUUCGGAGCCGGGGCAGGGCGCAUCUGGCUGGACGAGCUGGGCUGCCAGGGCCACGAGUCUGCGCUGUGGCAGUGCCCGUCGGCGGGCUGGGGGCGGCACGACUGGAGGCACAAGGAGGACGCCGGCGUCUUCUGCUCAGAGUCGGUGGCUCUGAGGCUGCGAGGUGGGACCUGCUGCUGUGCUGGGUGGCUGGACGUGUUCUACAAUGGGACCUGGGGCGCCAUGUGCAGCAAUGCCCUGAAGGACCUCUCCUUGUCCAUCAUCUGCAAGCAGCUGGGGUGUGGGGUGUGGGGAGUGGGGCUGGCUGGAGAACAGGCCCUUCCCCUCUGCGGGCACCGGGACCGCCUGGGUGGACAACAUCGAGUGCCGCAGGCUGCCCAACUCCACUCUGUGGCAAUGCCCUUCCCACCCAUGGCACCCGCACUCUUGCGACCUUCGAGAGCAGGUCUGGAUUACCUGUGCAGGUGGGCAUUAGAGGUCUCUGGGGGUGCCUGGGAAGAGGUUUAUCUGUCCUGACAGGUCACUUACAGGGGAUGCCAUUCAAUCAGAGCCUGGGCCUGGGGGUCACUAGGAUCCACAGCCUUCCUUGUGAAGCUUCUCUGGGCACCGAAGCUCUCAGAGCUGCUGUUUAACCCGCAGGAUUGUCAGAGGACAGGCCACAGGCUGCUGGGGAGCCCCUCAACUGCUCCUCCUGGCUCGGCUGCCCAGAGGAGGGCGCACUGCGCGUGCGCGGGGGCGAGGACCGCUGCUCCGGGCGCGUGGAGCUCUGGCACGCGGGCUCCUGGGGCACCGUGUGCGACGAUGGCUGGGACCUGGCGGACGCGGAGGUCGUGUGCCGCCAGCUGGGCUGUGGUCGGGCCGUCGCCGCCCUGGGGGCCGCCGCCUUUGGCCCUGGCUCCGGGCCCGUGUGGCUGGACGAGGUGGGGUGCCGGGGCAGCGAGGCGUCCCUGUGGGGCUGCCCUGCGGAGCGGUGGGGACGCGGAGACCGCGCGCACGAGGAGGACGCGGGCGUGCGCUGCUGGGAGCCUGGCCCAGGCCCCCCACUGCCUGCAGCUCCCUUCCGGACAUUCUGGGUGGUCAGUGUCGUCCUGGGAUCCCUUCUUGGUCUUCUCCUUCUGGGCCUCAUGGCUUUUCUGAUUCUGCCUCGAGUCACACAAGCCAUGCAGAGGGGUCUGGGAAGAUCCGAGGUAUCUCCUGGAGAAGCCAUCUAUGAUGUCAUUGGGGAAAUGCCGCCAGCAGGACUGUACGAGGAAAUCAUGGAGGCCGAGGCUGUGCUCCAAGAUGAGGAGGACGGAAGUGUGGUGAAGGUGGACACAGAAGCCGCAGUUUCAGGGGAGGUGUCUAACCUCCUGGAGGGACAGUCUAUACGUGCGGAGGGAGGACACAGCAGACCUGUUUCUCAGGGAUAUGACGAGGCUGCGUUUCCUCUGGAGGAGAUGACGUUGUAAAGCAACCUGAGGAUGAGAUACACCAGCUGGCUGUCGAAAUCACAGCUCUUCAUUUUCUUGUACAAUUGUAGUGGAUUUCGUGAGAACACCUUGGAUGCCUUUCUCUUGCAAUGUCCUCCAUGUCCAUGUAAAAUCCAGUCCUUCCAGGCCCUGCCUGGCUCUAAACCUCAUCCCCUUCGAGGGCCAUCUGCUGUGGACAGUUGUGCUGUGUAACCUUCAGAUUUCCCACACAUUACAGCAAAUGCAAAUACACAUAGAAAUCAGUGGUUCCAUUUGUGGUUUAGAGACACAUGGUGCCAUCUUCAUCUUCCGCUCCACAGCUCGCUUCUGGCACCCAGCAGUGGGUUGCAGAGCUCCCCAUGCCAGAACCUUCCUCUUUUUUCUUAAAAACUCUUCUUAAUUGAAUCCAAAGUAUCUUUUAAAUGUUCUACUUGUGUAAUCAUGUCAUCUGUGAAUAUUCAGAUUUAUCUUCUCCUUCCAA
rnacentral:lncRNA from 1 species